rnacentral:tRNA from 1 species
UCCCUGGAAGUUCCGUGGUUAAGACUCUGCGCUUCCAACGCGGGGAGUGCAGGUUCGAUCCCUGACUGGGGAG